rnacentral:rRNA from 1 species
GAUUAACGCUGGCGGCGUGCAUAACACAUGCAAGUCGAACGAUGAAACUUAGUAGACUUCUUCGGAAAGACACUAAGCGGAUUAGUGGCGAACGGGUGAGUAACGCGUGAGUAACCUGCCUUACACAAGGGGAUAGCCUUUGGAAACGAAGAAUAAUACCCUAUAAAACCAUAAAAGCACAUGCUAGAAUGGUCAAGGUGAUAGCGGUGUAAGAUGGACUUGCGUCUGAUUAGCUAGUUGGUGAGAUAAAAGCUCACCAAGGCAACGAUCAGUAGCCGGCUUGAGAGAGUGUACGGCCACAUUGGGACUGAGACACGGCCCAGACUCCUACGGGAGGCAGCAGUGGGGAAUUUUGCACAAUGGGGGAAACCCUGAUGCAGCGACGCCGCGUGAUUUAGAGGGCCUUCGGGUUGUAAAAAUCUUUUGUAUAGGAAGAAAAUGACAGUACUAUACGAAUAAGGUCCGGCUAAUUACGUG